rnacentral:rRNA from 1 species
CGGAGGUCACUGCUAUCGGGGUUCGAUUAAUUCAUGCGAGUCGAGAGGGUUCAAACCCUCGGCGGACUGCUCAGUAACACGUGGAUAAUCUGCCCUAUGGUGGAGGAUAACCCCGGGAAACUGGGGAUAAUACUCCAUAAGUCAGGAGUACUGGAAUGUCUCCUAACUGAAAGUUGCGGCGCCAUAGGAUGAAUCUGCGGCCGAUUAGGUAGUUGUUGGGGUAACGGCCCAACAAGCCCGUAAUCGGUACGGGUUGUGGGAGCAAGAGCCCGGAGAUGGAAUCUGAGACACGAUUCCAGGCCCUACGGGGCGCAGCAGGCGCGAAAACUUUUACAAUGCAGGAAACUGUGAUAAGGGAACCCCCGAGUGCCCGUAAACGCGGGCUGUCCCGGUGUUUUAAAACACAUCGGAAGAAAGGGCCGGGCAAAGACCGGUGCCAGCCGCCGCGGUAAUACCGGCGGCUCGAGUGGUGACCACUUUUAUUGGGCCUAAAGCGUUCGUAGCUUGAUUUUUAAGUCUCUUGGGAAAUCUCACGGCUUAACUGUGAGGCGUCUAAGAGAUACUGGGAAUCUAGGGACCGGGAGAGGUAAGAGGUACUUCAGGGGUAGGAGUGAAAUUCUGUAAUCCUUGAGGGACCACCGAUGGCGAAGGCAUCUUACCAGAACGGCUUCGACAGUGAGGAACGAAAGUUGGGGGAGCGAACGGGAUUAGAUACCCCGGUAGUCCCAGCCGU